AGUCGAGCUCAAACCAGCGACCCGAGAUCACGUUGGACAUCAAAUAAAUAACCUCCUUGAUCAUAUUUUUCUUUUUUUCGAUACAAAGAUUAUAAAAAGAAUGUUUACAUUAAUUUGACAUAUAAAUAAACUCUCGAACGGUGGUUUAAAGUUAACGGUAGAACGCCAGCCGUCUUUUAAAUCUCACAGACAAUCAAAAAGGUUGACCAGUCACCGUUGCUAUGACUACGUAGGACAUAUGGAUUUUCGUUGGUUGGGAGUUCAUGGCGAAGCAUGCAAGGGGCAGCAGUCUAACCAAAGAUGCCCAGACUUCCCUCACCCCGGCCACUUCCUCCAUCUCCUCAGGGGGGACCCUGAGACGUUUCCAGGCCAGCUGAAAGACAUAGUCUCUCCAGCGUGUCCAGGGUCUUCCCUGGGGCCUCCGCCCAGAGGGAAAUGCCUGGAACCUCCCCAGGGAGGUGUUCCAGGAGGCAUCCCGACCAGGUUACUGAGCCACCUCAGCUAGUUCCUCUCGACACGGAGGAGCAGCGAUUCUACUCCGAGCUCUCUUCGGGUGACCGAGCAUCUCCCCUCCUUCUCUAAAGGAGCGCCCAGCCACCCAGCGGAGGAUUUCACCCACUUGUAUUUGGUACCUCGUUUUCUUCACUGAUGAGCUCUUGGUCAUGGUGAGUAUUGGAACCAAGAGUCAGAGCUUUGCUUUCUGGCUCAGCUUUCUCUUCACCACCACUGACCGGUACAGCGACCACAUAACAGUGGCUGCUGCACCAAUUUGCCUGACGAUUACACGGUCCGAUCAAGAGCAAGACCCCCAAGUUAUUUAAACUCCUUCACCUGUGGCAGGAGGAGCACUCAACCCAGCCAGAGAGGGCAAACUAUCUUUGUCCGGUCAGGCCCAGCCUGAAGGUUUGACAUGGGAUCCCUCUCCCAUGGGCCAACCACCUCUAGGAGAGCUCAAAAGUGCAAUGUGGUUUGGGUGGCAGUCGAAGGUGGGUGCCUCGGCGGGCCCAAACUCUGGUCAUGGAAUCUGGCUAUAUUUGAAUAUUAAAAGAACUCUAUGAAAACAUUG